GGAAUAUAAGCGUUUCUACUGCGCAUUUCAUAUUUCCUGUCGACUGCAGGGGGCGUCUGGAUCCUCCGCUUUCGCCUUCUUACUUUGGGAAUUGUUUGAAUUUUUGUCUUGUUGAUGAAAGUGUAUCGGUGCUUAUGGGUGAAGAUGGUAUUGUAGCGGCGGCGGUUGCCAUUGGCAAAGCUGUGGAGGAAUUGAAGGGCGGAGUUAGCCAAGCCGG
rnacentral:misc_RNA from 1 species